UGGGGAAUAUUUGACAAUGGGCGCAAGCCUGAUCCAGCCAUGCCGCGUGUGUGAAGAAGGCCUUUUGGUUGUAAAGCACUUUAAGCUAGGAGGAGGCUACUUGGAUUAAUACUCUAGGAUAGUGGACGUUACUCGCAGAAUAAGCACCGGCUAACUCUGUGCCAGCAGCCGCGGUAAUACAGAGGGUGCGAGCGUUAAUCGGAUUUACUGGGCGUAAAGCGUGCGUAGGCGGCUUCUUAAGUCGGAUGUGAAAUCCCUGAGCUUAACUUAGGAAUUGCAUUCGAUACUGGGAAGCUAGAGUAUGGGAGAGGAUGGUAGAAUUCCAGGUGUAGCGGUGAAAUGCGUAGAGAUCAGGAGAAAUACCGAUGGCGAAGGCAGCCAUCUGGCCUAAUACUGACGCUGAGGUACGAAAGCAUGGGGAGCAAACAGG
rnacentral:rRNA from 1 species